GCAUGAAUAUAAUUUGGUAUAUUUGCCAUUAUUAUGUACUGUUUACAUGCAUGUAUCUUGUAUACAGAGUCAGUGGAAAAAGAAAGUAAAAAAUGUCAAUGCCAGAUUGUACACAGCGCAUUGCUUAUUGUGCUCCUUGAUUCCAAGAAGUCCAGGAGAAGAUGAGUCAUAUGGGUGAAGCAUCACCCAAAGUAUAGAACAAAGAAAGUAAGAUUCAGAAGUUGCAAAGAUUCAGAAGAAGAUAGUCAAGAAAUUGUAUUUAUUCCUAUAAAUUGUGAAAUUCUCCAGGAUUGCAAACAGUUGGUAAGUUUAAAUUGCAUUAUUUUCAAAGUUUAUAUAUGUGCUGUCAAUUAUUCCAUAAUACUGGGUUUCAUAAGUCAUUCACAUUUAUGUAAUUUUGGCUCAAAUUUGAGUGAUGGAAUUUGGCAUUUUGCUCUCUAUCGAGCAUUACUUCAUAAUGUAUACAUGUACACACAAACCAAUAGAAGGUGAUUGGUGUUCAGUCAGAUUUAAUUACUAUUAAUAUGUCAUAAAGAGAUAAUUAUGCUUCGUAUUAUUGUGUGCUAUUAUGUUCACAUGAACUUAUUCUUAAUUUGAUUACACAAGAAGAUUAUAUUGCAUUUAUUUUCUGAGAGUGAUAUAUAAUGCUCACUUCAUUUAGUUGUAAGUAGUCAACUGGUGUUAUAUAUUGUGUAGGGUGGUAGGGUCUCCUAGCUUAGGCAUGAGAUCAUUGGGUUAUUACUCUAUUACUAUAUUAUGUUAUUAUAAACAUAUCUAAGUACUGUUUGGUUUAGUUUAGGAAUCACAUAUAUUAUGAUUCAUCAUGGUUUAUUAUUAUUUAACCAGUUAUUAGUAAGUGUCUGUUAUAUAUUUUCUGUUUGCCUAUAUUAAUUUCAGUAUUAUUUGCUUUAAGAUAAUAAGGGCAUUAAAGGGAUGAAGAUGUUUAUUAACUAUAAUUAAAAUUAUUAGGCCAACAAGAUAAUGAGUUUAUAUUGCACAUAUUCAGAUUUAAUCUGAUAUUGAUUACAGUUAUUGAUUACCAAUUUAUUAUUGUUUACCAAACAACAAUUAUUCAACUCAAAUAAUAUGAUCAAUUAUUGAGGUUUCCUUUAAUCACGUUAAUAUCCUUGACCGUUGUAUAUUGCAUUAGUAUCAUUGAGACUUAUUCCCUGUGGGUAUAUAAGAAGUUAUUUACAAGUUAUUCAGUCAUGUUUGAAUUAUGUUACUGUUGGCAAAUGAAUAUUAACACUGUGUUUAUAUGUUUAUUUGUUUAUUCAGCGAACCGCUCAAUUACCGCUCAAUUACCGCUCAAUUACCGCUCAAUUACCGCUCAAUUAUCGCUCAAUCGUCGCUCAAUUGUCGUGCAAUUGUUGAAGUACUGGUUGUUGACAGUUGAUGCUGGUUAAAGUUUUCUUCGCUGGUCGUUGGUUAUGUCGACCUAGAAACUUCAUUACAAGGCCGUAUUUGAUGUCAAGUUGUUGAUUUAUGUGUCGUCAUUAUUACGGAAGAAGUUGAAGAAGGAAUAAACAGACAAGUAACUGUAAAGCCGUUGUUUGAGUCUUCAAUUAGCGUGUUCGAACUAAGCAAUUAAGAAUUUCCACGUGUAGUUUAAGAAAGGCAGCUACACGACAGUUCGCAACUGCAUUAUGGAUCCCUCAAAUAAACCAAAUUCAGAAGCCCUUGCUGGAGUUGGACCUGGAGCUGGAGACGACGAGGAUGAUGUAAAGUCUACCACAUCUCGGGGGAGCGCCAUGUCCAGAGUGUCUUGUGUAAGCGAUACAUCAAGCGUGAAACUAAGAGCAGCGAGGGUGAAGGAGGAGCUGGUGAAUAAGAAAAGGGAGCAGUUCUUACAGGAACAAAGACUAAGACGAGAACAGUUUAAAUUACAACAGGAACAAUUUGAACUGAAUGAAAGAAUAGAACUUCUCAAGAUCGACCAUGACAAGGAAAAUGCCAAGGUUGAAGCCACCAUGUGGCAAGAACAAGUAAAUGAAGAAAGGGCAGAAGCAGGAUUUCCGCCCUUACCUAACAAGGACUUGGACAAAGUACAAAUUACAGAAAGGUGGUUCUCCACCCAGGGAGAAUCAAAUCAUCAGGGUAAUGUACCAAAUGUUCAAAAGGAUAAUGUAUAUGUUAAAGGUAAUGAACAUGUAAGUACUGGUGUAGUAGGUGAAGGUACUACAACAAUUCAUAAGCCGGGUAAUGAAGGAGUAGGGUUAAGCAGGGGAUACAAUGGUAAUCACCAAGUUAAUAGCCAAGCACAAGAACAGAAACCCUUCAUACCCAAUCCAUUUCAGACCCCAGUUAAUAACAUGUAUAAUCAUAAUAUGAUGGCAAUGGCUCUAAGUUUGCCAAAGCCAGACAUGCCAACUUUCUCAGGCAAUCCGAUUGAUUAUUGGAAUUUUGUGAAUAGUUUUGAAGUUAAUAUUGCUGACAGAAUUCAUGACAGUAGGUUAAAAUUGUCUUACUUAAUUCAGUUUACCUCAGACAAGGCCAGAGAGGCCAUAGAAAAUUGUGUAUUAUUAGAUCCCGAUACAGGUUAUUCCCGAGCUAGGAUAAUACUACAGGACCAGUUCGGACGGAACUAUAUAGUGGCUAGAGCUCACCUGGAGAAGGUCAUCAAUAGAUCACCACUCAGGGCCACGGACAGCCAAGGUCUGUGGGAUCUAGCCAGAGACAUGAGGAGGUGUCAGAUGACAACUUCUCAGAUGGGGUACUCGGCUGAUAUGAGUACAACGGAUACCCUACUGAAGAUUCAACAUCUUCUCCCAGUCCACAUUCAGUCCAAGUGGGCCAGCCGAGCACAUUCACUGAUGGAGCAAUCAGUGAUGCCCAACUUCUCCCAUCUGACAGACUUCAUCGAAGAGUCUGCUAAGGUGGCGAGUAAUGUGUUCGGUAAGAGCGUAGGGCGUCCAGCCGUGCAAGACAAGAAGGCAUCUGCGGGGAAGCCUAGGCCAAAGGUUUCGACCUUUAAUACUACAACAAGCAAGUCUGAGAAACCUAAGGAAUCGAGCUCAUGCCCAUGCUGCUCAGAGAAGCAUGAGCUUGAUAAGUGCCGCAAAUUUAAAGGUCAGUCAGUAGAUGAAAGGUUUGCCUUUGUCAAGUCUAAGGGGCUAUGUUUCAAUUGCCUCAAAGGGUCGCACAUGGCAAAGGGCUGUACAGCUACCCCUAAGUGCAGCAAGGAUGGGUGCAAGAAAAGACACCACACCCUUCUUCACAUGGAGUGGUACACCAAGGGCAAAGAUAAAGGGCAAGAAACAGGUAAGCAAACUGGGGCCGGGAAAGGAUCUGACUUAGAUAACCAGGCCGACACCAAUGCUGUUGGUGGUCAGAAAGAGGUUUGUCUCCGAGUUUUACCUGUCAAGGUUAGAGGCAAUGGCAGGGAGGUGACAACAUGGGCUUUGCUGGACCAUGGCAGCGAUGUUUCCCUCUGCGAACAGCGUCUUGCAGAUGACCUCGGCAUCCAAGGUAAGGAGACAAACUUCCGACUGACCACGGUGAACAACACUAAUACCCAAAGGGGAGGACAGGAGGUCAGUUUCUCCAUUCAAGGAAUUAAGGACAGGGAUGUAAUUGAUAUGCCCAGGGUGUGGACGGUAGAAUCACUACCAACAACCCAUAGAAGUAUACCAAGACAACAGGACGUAGAUAGAUGGUCCCAUCUGAAGGGAAUAGAGCUUCCAACAGCUGCCAAGAAGGAUAUCACCUUGCUCAUAGGGAGUGACACUCCAGAGGCCUUCUGGGUCCAGGAAGAAAGGAGGGGAAAGAAGAAAGAACCAUAUGCUAUCCGUUCUCCACUGGGAUGGACAGUCAUGGGCCCCACCGGACGCAGAAGGAAAGGAGCAUUUGAGGUGAACAACAUCUCCUCAAUGGAUGACCAUUUGCAAGAGCAAGUCCAGAGAUUCUGGAAACUGGACUAUGCUCCUGGUGAUGAGAGUGAAAGAUUAGGUGACUCGGUAGAAGACAGGAAGGCUCGUGCCAUGAUGGAAUACACAAUCCGUCUUAUGGAUGGCCAUUAUGAGAUGGGUUUACCUUGGCGUCAAUUCCCUCCGUCUCUACCAAACAACCACAAGAUGGCAGAGUCACGUUUACGAUCUCUAAAGAGAAGACUGGAGAAGGAUGACAGCCUUCACCAGAAGUACACAGAAACUAUGACAAAUUAUUUGUCGAAGGGGUUUGCAAGGGAGGUGGACGAGGACCCUCAAGAGGAGGGCUCUAUCUGGUAUCUACCUCACCACCCAGUGACUCAUCCCUUCAAGCCGGAAAAGGUGCGUGUAGUAUUUGACUGUGCUGCCAAAUACCAAGGAAUCUCCCUUAACAGCCAGUUAUUGAGUGGACCGGAUUACACCAAUAAGCUUGUUGGUGUGCUUCUUCGCUUCAGACAAGAGGAGAUAGCACUGGUGGCAGAUGUGGAGGGUAUGUUCCACCAAGUGAGGGUCACACCCGCCCACACUGAUGCGCUCAGAUUCUUGUGGUGGGAGAACGGCAACACGGACACGACGCCUAAGACGUACAAGAUGCAAGUCCAUCUGUUUCGAGCGACUUCGUCUCCAAGCUGUGCAGGCUUUGCACUCCAAAGGACUGAGGAAGACAACAGGCAGGACUUUGAGCCAGAAGUUUGUCAGAUAGUCAAGGACAAUUUCUAUGUCGAUGACUGCCUGAAGUCUGUUCGCUCUACAGAGGAAGCGAUAAGGCUCAUUCCUCAGUUAUGCAGCCUACUAAGAAAAGGAGGAUUCAGACUAACAAAGUGGGUCAGCAAUGACAAGGAAGUGUUGGAAACAGUCCCUCUUACAGAAAGGGCUGCAUCGGUAGUUGAUCUAGAUUUGGAUCAUCUUCCAAUAGAGAGAACACUUGGAGUCUUAUGGAACAUGGACUCUGACAUGUUUAGCUUCAAGGUUUCUCCCAAGGACGUACCAGCAACAAGAAGGGGUAUACUGUCCGCCACAAGCUCCUUGUAUGAUCCACUUGGAUUUGUGGCACCUUUCACAGUAAAUGCAAAGCUUCUUUUGCAGGAUCUUUGCGCCCAAGGUCUUGGCUGGGACGAGAAGAUCAAGGACCAGGACUUGCAACGCUGGCGAGCCUGGCUGGCUGAGUUACCAGCGUUAACCUCAGUACACAUCCCCAGAUGUUUCAAGCCAUCUGACUUCAAGGACCCUGUCUAUGAUCUCCAUGUGUUCUGUGAUGCGUCAGAAAGAGCAUAUGCAGCAUGUGCCUAUCUACGGAUAGAGGAUUCUGGUCGCACCCACAGUGCACUUGUGAUGGGGAAGACAAGACUUUGUCCUCUGAAGAAGAUGACAAUUCCCAGAUUGGAGCUGUCAGCAGCAGUACAAGCGGUAAAGCUGGGUCGAACCAUCAUGGAAGAACUCAGGCUACCAGUGAGGAGCGUCACAUACUGGACUGACUCUACCUCAGUGCUGCUGUACAUAAGGAAUACCAGUAGGAGAUUCCGUACAUUUGUGGCAAACAGAGUAGCUGUCAUUCAAGAAAAGAGUGACACUUCACAGUGGCGCCACGUUGAUACCAAGAGCAAUCCAGCAGAUGAUGGCUCAAGAGGAUUGCAUGCAGGACAACUAUCAAGAUGGAUCCAAGGACCAAACUUCCUUCUAAAGCAAGAAGAAGACUGGCCGGAAGCAUUCCUAACCCCGACUGACCAGAGAGUAUUGCCCGCUCAGGACCUCAAGGAUGAUCCUGAGAUGAAGAGGACUAAUGCCAUAUCAAUCAAGCCUCAAGACAGCAUUGGUAAUCUGAUCAGUCGCUAUUCAACCUGGAAUAGAUUAAAGAGAGGAGUAGCUUGGAUCCUUCGCUUCAAGGCACACUUGAUAGCCCGCACAAAGAAAAGUACAUCUCAGAAGACUACAGAUUUGACACCUUCCGAGUUGUCGGAAGCUGAGCUGGAAAUAGUGAAGUACAUUCAGAAGGAUGCCUUUCCAGCUGAGUUUGAGAAGAACAAGAAGUCAAGGGUUGAACAGUCCUCCAUGAAGAAAUUGAACCCUACCCUAGUUGAUGAUGUCCUUAGGGUAGGAGGGAGAUUGGACAGAUCACCUAUUGACUUUGAUGCCAAACACCCCAUGAUAUUGCCAAGCAACCAUCAUGUGACCAGACUGCUCAUUGAGCACCACCAUCAUGAAGUUGGUCACUCUGGUGCAGGCAUGACAUGGACGGCACUAAGGUCGAAAUAUUGGAUCCUGAAGGGGGGUUCCACUGUUCGACGGAUCAUAGGGAAAUGCAUUCAAUGUAGGAAGAGGAAUGCACCAAGAGGAAGGCAAAUGAUGGCUGACUUGCCGAAAGAAAGAGUGACACCUGGCAGGCCGCCAUUUACCUUCACCGGAGUCGACUACUUCGGGCCAUUCAGUGUUAAGCAAGGACGGAGCCAGCCAAAGAGGUAUGGCUGUAUAUUCACUUGUUUGACAACUAGGGCUGUACAUCUGGAGAUAGCCAACUCCUUGGAUACAGAUUCAUUCAUUAACGCUCUUAGAAGAUUUGUAAAUCGCAGGGGGCUACCUGAGAAAAUCUUUAGCGACAAUGGCACAAACUUCAGAGCAGGACAUAAAGAACUAAAGCAGAGCCUAGCAGAGCUCAACUCAACAAAGGUGGGUCGCUUUCUAACUCAGCGAGGGAUUGAAUGGGCGUUUAAUCCUCCGGGUGCAAGCCACAUGGGUGGUGUUUGGGAAAGAGUAAUCCGGUCAGUUAGGAAGAUAUUAGGAAAUCUUCUCAAGCUUCAGACUGUAACCGACGAAACUCUAAGCACACUCAUGUCUGAAGUAGAAGCAAUCCUAAAUGCUAGACCGUUGACACCCUUAAGCGCGGAUCCUAAAGACGAGGAACCGCUAACUCCAAACCAUCUUCUUCUCAUGAGAAGAAAUCAGUCACUUUCACCAGGGGUAUUUGAUAAGAGUGAUUGUUAUACUUGAAGAAGAUGGAGACAAACUCAAUAUCUGGCCGGACAGUUCUGGAGGCGUUGGACAAAGGAAUACCUUCCCUUGCUCCAAGAACGCCAAAGGUGGCUUAAACCACAAAGAAACUUCCAGACUGACGACCUUGUACUCAUAGCUGAUGACACUGCUCCUCGUGGGCACUGGCCACUAGGUAGAGUGACUAUGACCUACCCAGACAGACACGGACUCGUUAGACAAGUUGAAGUUAGGGUAGGAUCUAAAUACUAUAAACGACCAAUUUCUAAAUUAUGUUUUUUAGAGAGCAACGAUUAGGAUACAUUGACAUACGCCCGACAUAAGACCUAGUAGGGACCACACCCUCCUUAUUAUUGUUACAUUAAUGAUUGUUGUAAGAUUGAUUUGAUGUAUAUUUUAAUUUCAUUGUUGUUUUUUAUUACUAUGUUAUGUUUAUAUCGUUAAGUAUGGUAUUGGUUAAUGAUGCCGCUUUACAUGUUUAUGGUUUAAUGAAAUGAGUAACUGGUGGUUGCCUCAUUUGGGGCCGGGUAUGUAGCGGCAUGAAUAUAAUUUGGUAUAUUUGCCAUUAUUAUGUACUGUUUACAUGCAUGUAUCUUGUAUACAGAGUCAGUGGAAAAAGAAAGUAAAAAAUGUCAAUGCCAGAUUGUACACAGCGCAUUGCUUAUUGUGCUCCUUGAUUCCAAGAAGUCCAGGAGAAGAUGAGUCAUAUGGGUGAAGCAUCACCCAAAGUAUAGAACAAAGAAAGUAAGAUUCAGAAGUUGCAAAGAUUCAGAAGAAGAUAGUCAAGAAAUUGUAUUUAUUCCUAUAAAUUGUGAAAUUCUCCAGGAUUGCAAACAGUUGCGAACCGCUCAAUUACCGCUCAAUUACCGCUCAAUUACCGCUCAAUUACCGCUCAAUUAUCGCUCAAUCGUCGCUCAAUUGUCGUGCAAUUGUUGAAGUACUGGUUGUUGACAGUUGAUGCUGGUUAAAGGUUUCUUCGCUGGUCGUUGGUUAUGUCGACCUAGAAACUUCAUUACAAGGCCGUAUUUGAUGUCAAGUUGUUGAUUUAUGUGUCGUCAUUAUUACGGAAGAAGUUGAAGAAGGAAUAAACAGACAAGUAACUGUAAAGCCGUUGUUUGAGUCUUCAAUUAGCGUGUUCGAACUAAGCAAUUAAGAAUUUCCACGUGUAGUUUAAGA